AGCAGGUUAUGUUGUGGUUCUUGUUUAGAUCUGGCAGGUUCUUGUUUAGAUCUAGCAGGUUAUGUUGUGGUUCUUGUUUAGAUCUGGCAGGUUCUUGUUUAGAUCUAGCAGGUUAUGUUGUGGUUCUUGUUUAGAUCUGGCAGGUUCUUGUUUAGAUCUAGCAGGUUAUGUUGUGGUUCUUGUUGUGAUCUGGCAGGUUCUGUUGUGGUUCUUGUUGUGAUCUGGCAGGUUCUUGUUUAGAUCUAGCAGGUUAUGUUGUGGUUCUUGUUGUGAUCUGGCAGGUUCUUGUUUAGAUCUAGCAGGUUAUGUUGUGGUUCUUGUUGUGAUCUGGCAGGUUCUGUUGUGUUUCUUGUUUGGAUCUGGCCGGUUCUGUUGCAGCCGCGUCAUCUACAGAGUUCAUCGCUAUAGUCGGUGUUGUUGUAGAAUUGUCUUCAGUUGCCUUCCAACUUUUUUCAUCCAUUUCUUUUGUUUGUUUUGUUUUGUUUUUUCAAACAUGGAAUCAAACCUGAAUUGUAUCCAUUGUCAGCUGCUUCUGAGUUCAACUGUUUAAAACAGAUUAAUUUGCACUCGAAUGCCUGAUUGCUUUCAAAGGGAUGAAUUGUUGUUAACAGAAUCAGAAAAACAGC
ensembl:lncRNA